rnacentral:rRNA from 1 species
AAUAGAUACCCUGGUAGUCCACGCCGUAAACGAUGAGUGCUAAGUGUUAGGGGGUUUCCGCCCCUUAGUGCUGCAGCUAACGCAUUAAACACUCCGCCUGGGGAGUACGGUCGCAAGACUGAAACUCAAAGGAAUUGACGGGGGCCCGCACAAGCGGUGGAGCAUGUGGUUUAAUUCGAAGCAACGCGAAGAACCUUACCAGGUCUUGACAUCCCAUUGACCGCUAUGGAGACAUAGCUUUCCCUUCGGGGACAGUGGUGACAGGUGGUGCAUGGUUGUCGUCAGCUCGUGUCGUGAGAUGUUGGGUUAAGUCCCGCAACGAGCGCAACCCUUGUUCUUAGUUGCCAUCAUUUAGUUGGGCACUCUAAGGAGACUGCCGGUGACAAACCGGAGGAAGGUGGGGAUGACGUCAAAUCAUCAUGCCCCUUAUGACCUGGGCUACACACGUGCUACAAUGGACGGUACAAACGGUUGCCAACCCGCGAGGGGAGCUAAUCCGAUAAAACCGUUCUCAGUUCGGAUUGUAGGCUGCAACUCGCCUAC